UGUGUGUUAGUGGAAGCGUCUGGAAAGGCGCGCGAUACAGGGUGACAGCCCCGUACACAAAAAUGCACAUGCUGUGAGCUCGAUGAGUAGGGCGGGACACGUGGUAUCCUGUCUGAAUAUGGGGGGACCAUCCUCCAAGGCUAAAUACUCCUGACUGACCGAUAGUGAACCAGUACCGUGAGGGAAAGGCGAAAAGAACCCCGGCGAGGGGAGUGAAAAAGAACCUGAAACCGUGUACGUACAAGCAGUGGGAGCACGCUUAGGCGUGUGACUGCGUACCUUUUGUAUAAUGGGUCAGCGACUUAUAUUCUGUAGCAAGGUUAACCGAAUAGGGGAGCCGAAGGGAAACCGAGUCUUAACUGGGCGUUAAGUUGCAGGGUAUAGACCCGAAACCCGGUGAUCUAGCCAUGGGCAGGUUGAAGGUUGGGUAACACUAACUGGAGGACCGAACCGACUAAUGUUGAAAAAUUAGCGGAUGACUUGUGGCUGGGGGUGAAAGGCCAAUCAAACCGGGAGAUAGCUGGUUCUCCCCGAAAGCUAUUUAGGUAGCGCCUCGUGAAUUCAUCUCCGGGGGUAGAGCACUGUUUCGGCAAGGGGGUCAUCCCGACUUACCAACCCGAUGCAAACUGCGAAUACCGGAGAAUGUUAUCACGGGAGACACACGGCGGGUGCUAACGUCCGUCGUGAAGAGGGAAACAACCCAGACCGCCAGCUAAGGUCCCAAAGUCAUGGUUAAGUGGGAAACGAUGUGGGAAGGCCCAGACAGCCAGGAUGUUGGCUUAGAAGCAGCCAUCAUUUAAAGAAAGCGUAAUAGCUCACUGGUCGAGUCGGCCUGCGCGGAAGAUGUAACGGGGCUAAACCAUGCACCGAAGCUGCGGCAGCGACACUAUGUGUUGUUGGGUAGGGGAGCGUUCUGUAAGCCUGUGAAGGUGUGCUGUGAGGCAUGCUGGAGGUAUCAGAAGUGCGAAUGCUGACAUAAGUAACGAUAAAGCGGGUGAAAAGCCCGCUCGCCGGAAGACCAAGGGUUCCUGUCCAACGUUAAUCGGGGCAGGGUGAGUCGACCCCUAAGGCGAGGCCGAAAGGCGUAGUCGAUGGGAAACAGGUUAAUAUUCCUGUACUUGGUGUUACUGCGAAGGGGGGACGGAGAAGGCUAUGUUGGCCGGGCGACGGUUGUCCCGGUUUAAGCGUGUAGGCUGGUUUUCCAGGCAAAUCCGGAAAAUCAAGGCUGAGGCGUGAUGACGAGGCACUACGGUGCUGAAGCAACAAAUGCCCUGCUUCCAGGAAAAGCCUCUAAGCAUCAGGUAACAUCAAAUCGUACCCCAAACCGACACAGGUGGUCAGGUAGAGAAUACCAAGGCGCUUGAGAGAACUCGGGUGAAGGAACUAGGCAAAAUGGUGCCGUAACUUCGGGAGAAGGCACGCUGAUAUGUAGGUGAAGCGACUUGCUCGUGGAGCUGAAAUCAGUCGAAGAUACCAGCUGGCUGCAACUGUUUAUUAAAAACACAGCACUGUGCAAACACGAAAGUGGACGUAUACGGUGUGACGCCUGCCCGGUGCCGGAAGGUUAAUUGAUGGGGUCAGCGCAAGCGAAGCUCUUGAUCGAAGCCCCGGUAAACGGCGGCCGUAACUAUAACGGUCCUAAGGUAGCGAAAUUCCUUGUCGGGUAAGUUCCGACCUGCACGAAUGGCGUAAUGAUGGCCAGGCUGUCUCCACCCGAGACUCAGUGAAAUUGAACUCGCUGUGAAGAUGCAGUGUACCCGCGGCAAGACGGAAAGACCCCGUGAACCUUUACUAUAGCUUGACACUGAACAUUGAGCCUUGAUGUGUAGGAUAGGUGGGAGGCUUUGAAGUGUGGACGCCAGUCUGCAUGGAGCCGACCUUGAAAUACCACCCUUUAAUGUUUGAUGUUCUAACGUUGACCCGUGAUCCGGGUUGCGGACAGUGUCUGGUGGGUAGUUUGACUGGGGCGGUCUCCUCCUAAAGAGUAACGGAGGAGCACGAAGGUUGGCUAAUCCUGGUCGGACAUCAGGAGGUUAGUGCAAUGGCAUAAGCCAGCUUGACUGCGAGCGUGACGGCGCGAGCAGGUGCGAAAGCAGGUCAUAGUGAUCCGGUGGUUCUGAAUGGAAGGGCCAUCGCUCAACGGAUAAAAGGUACUCCGGGGAUAACAGGCUGAUACCGCCCAAGAGUUCAUAUCGACGGCGGUGUUUGGCACCUCGAUGUCGGCUCAUCACAUCCUGGGGCUGAAGUAGGUCCCAAGGGUAUGGCUGUUCGCCAUUUAAAGUGGUACGCGAGCUGGGUUUAGAACGUCGUGAGACAGUUCGGUCCCUAUCUGCCGUGGGCGCUGGAGAACUGAGGGGGGCUGCUCCUAGUACGAGAGGACCGGAGUGGACGCAUCACUGGUGUUCGGGUUGUCAUGCCAAUGGCACUGCCCGGUAGCUAAAUGCGGAAGAGAUAAGUGCUGAAAGCAUCUAAGCACGAAACUUGCCCCGAGAUGAGUUCUCCCUGACCCUUUAAGGGUCCUGAAGGAACGUUGAAGACGACGACGUUGAUAGGCCGGGUGUGUAAGCGCAGCGAUGCGUUGAGCUAACCGGUACUAAUGAACCGUGAGGCUUAACCUU
rnacentral:rRNA from 1 species